CCUUGCCCGUAUGUGGGCUCUGUACCGAGGAUGUCGUUGUGGCUUGUACAGCCCUUUGAGACACUUGUGAUUUAGGGCUAUAUAAAUAAACAUUGAUUGAUUGAUUGACAAUUAAAGGUAGAACACUAUUAACUGCAACAUGUAAGUGUAAAAAAACAACAUGAUUUGUUUAUUUUUGAGAAAUUCUAUUUUUAAACCAAGAAAACAAUCUGAAGUUGUCUUUAUUUUUAAGUUAUCGUGCCGUGAUUUUACCAGUCCGGCCCACUUGGGAGUAGAUUUUUCUCAAUGUGGCCCCCGAUCUAAAAUGAGUUUGACACCUCUGGCCUAGAUAAAUUGGUAAACAUCCUCACAAAUAUUGAUAUAAAGCAUUACCGUAUUUUCCGGACCAUAGGGCACACCGGAAUAUAAGGAGCACUGCCGAUGAAUGGUCUAUUUUUGAUCUUUUUUUCAUAUAUAAGGCGCACCGGAUUAUAAGGCGCAUUAAAGGAGUCAUAAUAUAUAUAUUUUUUUCUAAAUGUAAAAGACUUCCUUGGGGUCUACAUAACAUGUAAUGGUGGUUCUUUGCUCAAAAUGUUGCAUAGAUGAUGUUUUACACAUCAUCUUCAAGCCGCUUCCGGGUGCGCCGUUUUGUGGGCGGUCUUAUUUACGUGGCUCACCUUCGGCAGCGUCUUCUCCCCGUCAUCUUUGUUGUGAAGUGUCAAAAGAUGGAGCUAACUGUUUUAAUGACAUUCAGACUUUACUUCAAUCAAUAACGGAGCAGCAUCUCCUCAUCCAGAAACAACAACACCAGAAAUGUGUCCCGUGAAAAACCGUCCGACCAGAACUCUAAUAACUAAAGUUCCUUGGGUGAAUAAUGGUAACUCACUACACCGGUAUGUUUUAGGGCUUUCAUGGCGAGUUUACUGACUGAAAUAAGUAAUAACUUUACACUGCUUUUUAUUAGAAAUGGCAACAGCAGAGGAUGGAUGUCCCAUAACAAGAAGGUGGAGAAAAAGAAGAAGCUUAUCGACUACGGUGUCGGCACGGACUACAAAGGCGGACCUGCACAAAUUUUCAGGUACCAGAAGAUCAACACGACGAGAGAGACAUUCUGCCGCUAGACAAAGGUCACCGAGCAGCGACGAAGUUUGCAUUUUCGGUAGAGGUCCAGGGAGCCACGAGGGCGGUGCUAAAGAGACGCGGGUUGCUGACCCCCGGCCUACACCCUAGACUGGCCGCCAGUUCAUCACAGGACACAUGAACAAGCCUUCGCCCUCAAAUCAGAGAAAAACAACAACACCAGAAAUGUGUCCCGUGAAAAACCGUCCGACCAGAACUCUAAUAACUAAAGUUCCUUGGGUGAAUAAUGAAAUGGCAACAGCAGAGGAUGGAUGUCCCAUAACAAGAAGGUGGAGAAAAAGAAGAAGCUUAUCGACUACGGUGUCGGCACGGACUACAAAGGCGGACCUGCACAAAUUUUCAGGUACCAGAAGAUCAACACGACGAGAGAGACAUUCUGCCGCUAGACAAAGGUCACCGAGCAGCGACGAAGUUUGCAUUUUCGGUAGAGGUCCAGGGAGCCACGAGGGCGGUGCUAAAGAGACGCGGGUUGCUGACCCCCGGCCUACACCCUAGACUGGCCGCCAGUUCAUCACAGGACACAUGAACAAGCCUUCGCCCUCAAAUCAGAGAAGUAUUCAUUUACUCUAACAUGAUUUUUAUUCAGUUCAAUGCAUUUAUUGUCAUUGUCAUAGUGAAUAACACACACACUGCAUAGUAACCAUGUAUCAAAAAUGCGUUAGGUGGUGCAAUCCUGACCCAUGAAACGCGUAAACACAAAGGGUGCCACGAACGAUGCACAAAAUUCACAGUCUGGUAUGGAUCGGUACUUGAGCGGCGCCGUUCCAUACAUUUUUUCAAUACCCAAAAGAGGGAAAUGUUCAUGCCUUUUUUUUAACUUGUAGUUUAUUGAAAUUGUCGUUGUCCACGACAGAAAACGGUCGGCAAGGCGAGUUUAUUUACAGAGCACAGUUCGUACUACAGGCAGGCCAGUCUAGUACCCGCACUCUUUUACUACGAAGCCACGCUGUUGUAACACGUGCAGAAUGUGGCUCGGCGAUAUCUUACUGAAAUAAGCAGGGGCGGCCAUGAAAAAGACGUCGCUUGGAUGGCAACUUUUGUUGCUCCAAAACCUGUAUGUACCUUUCAGCAUUAAUGGUGCCUUCACAAACGUGUAAGUUACCCACUAAUACACCCCCAUAUCAUCAAUCUUUAUUGCAGACCUUAAGAUCCAUUUAAACAUAUAAAAACAGAAUAUAAUACAUUAAAAAACAAAACAAUAAAAACAUACAUUAAAAACAAAACAAAACAAGUUUUCCAUACAAUUACAGACGCUGGGUUUUCAACUUUGCGCCUAGAACAAUCCGGAUGGUUCUUUUCCUCUUUGGACCGGAGGACACGACGUCCACAGUUUCCAAAAACAAUUUGAAAUGUGGACUUGUCAGACCACAGAACACUUUUCCAGUUUGCAUCAGUACAUCUUAGAUGAGCUCGGGCCGAGCGAAGCCGGCGGCGUUUGUGGGUGUUGUUGAUAAAUGGCAUUCGCUUUGCAUUGUAGAGUUUUAACUUGCACUUACAGAUGUAGCGACGAACUGUAGUUACUGACAGUGGUUUUCUGAAGUGUUCCUGAGUCCAUGUGGUGAUAUCCUUUACACACUGAUGUCGCUUUUUGAUGCAGUACCAACACAAAUACAACUUUGAAACUACGUGCUUUCUGAGAAGAUUACCGUAGUAACUAGUAUAUCAUGCAAAAGCGCAGAUUCCAACCAAUCAGUCCAUCUCAGAUGAGCUCGGGCCGAGCGAAGCCAGCGGCGUUUCUGGGUGUUGUUGCAUUUAUCAACAACACCCAGAAACGCAGAGUUUUGAGGACGAAAAUGAAUUGAUACCAUUUUAGAAUAAGGCGGUAACAUAGCAAAAUGUGGCAAAAAAUGAAGCGCUGUGAAUACUUUCCGGAUGCAGUGUACAGUAUAAAGGGCAGAUCAAUAGAAGUGAUAAUUAGACGUUGCAGUUCAUGGGUGGGAUGUGAGAGAGGGUCACUGCCUGAGGAUACAGACGAGCUGUUGGCAAGUUGUCCUGGCACGUAUAGACCUGUUCCUUCUACCUGAGGGCCGCAGGUGAGGAGCAGGGUGUUGUUGGUCACGCAGGAUGCUGUGCACUCGCCUCAGACAGCAGGUAGUGUAGACUGUGCCCAUCUCUGGAAGACUUGAUUUUUUUUCAGCUGUUUUAAUCACCGAUUAGAGAGUCUGCUGUCAUGGCACACUUAUAAAAGCUCACUCUUACACAAGGAAGCGGAGUCAUUCAUUGCGCUUUACCUGACACAUGAAACGUGACAAAUACGAUCGCUGAGAUGAAACGGAUCAGGCCCGUGAACAGGUUCUAUCCGGAUGAAUUUGCUAAGUAUACAAAUGAGCUGAAAUUUUUUAUGAAAGAAACUGCUGUUUUAAAUGUGUCCACUAGAUGUGGCAAUGGCAAUUCUUUGUAUCUGUGUAGAUGAUGCGACAUACAGUAUGUACAAAAAAAAUAAAACACAUGAUGUUAGUGCAACAGUCGAAGAAAAUUAGCAAACUACAUAAAUAACAUCCUGUAAUUUGAUUUUGAUAUUUUUUUUUUUAUCUUGUUAGAUUGAAAAUGAACACCAAUGAGUUGACUGAUGAACAUUAUCACGUCAUUUAUUCAGAAAGUAUAAAUAACGACAAUUAAAGGUAGAACACUAUUAACUGCAACAUGUAAGUGUAAAAAAAACAACACGAUUUGUUUAUUUUUGAGAAAUUCUAUUUUUAAACAAAGAAAACAAUCUGAAGUUGUCUUUAUUUUUAAGUUAUCGUGCCGUGAUUUUAACAGUCCGGCCCACUUGGGAGUAGAUUUUUCUCAAUGUGGCCCCCGAUCUAAAAUGAGUUUGACACCUCUGGCCUAGAUAAAUUGGUAAACAUCCUCACAAAUAUUGAUAUAAAGCAUUACCGUAUUUUCCGGACCAUAGGGCACACCGGAAUAUAAGGAGCACUGCCGAUGAAUGGUCUAUUUUUGAUCUUUUUUUCAUAUAUAAGGCGCACCGGAUUAUAAGGCGCAUUAAAGGAGUCAUAAUAUAUAUAUUUUUUUCUAAAUGUAAAAGACUUCCUUGGGGUCUACAUAACAUGUAAUGGUGGUUCUUUGCUCAAAAUGUUGCAUAGAUGAUGUUUUACACAUCAUCUUCAAGCCGCUUCCGGGUGCGCCGUUUUGUGGGCGGUCUUAUUUACGUGGCUCACCUUCGGCAGCGUCUUCUCCCCGUCAUCUUUGUUGUGAAGUGUCAAAAGAUGGAGCUAACUGUUUUAAUGACAUUCAGACUUUACUUCAAUCAAUAACGGAGCAGCAUCUCCUCAUCCAGAAACAACAACACCAGAAAUGUGUCCCGUGAAAAACCGUCCGACCAGAACUCUAAUAACUAAAGUUCCUUGGGUGAAUAAUGGUAACUCACUACACCGGUAUGUUUUAGGGCUUUCAUGGCGAGUUUACUGACUGAAAUAAGUAAUAACUUUACACUGCUUUUUAUUAGAAAUGGCAACAGCAGAGGAUGGAUGUCCCAUAACAAGAAGGUGGAGAAAAAGAAGAAGCUUAUCGACUACGGUGUCGGCACGGACUACAAAGGCGGACCUGCACAAAUUUUCAGGUACCAGAAGGUAAGAAAAGUUUCUUUUGCAUAAUAUUGCGAAACAAAACACCAGAAAAUAUGUCUUACCUUAUACACACACCAUAAUAAUACUCCUAUGUUGAAGCACAGUACAAUCCAUCAAGCGGUGCAGUUUCAUAGCUGACCAAAGUCCUACUAAAACAUUUUGAUAGAUUUUUGAGCGCCGUGUGUAAUGUUCUAUAUUUUCAAGGGAGCAUAUACAAUGUUGGUGUUGUUUACUUGAGUCAUAUUGCGGUCUACACGAAAUCAAAUCAAAUCAAUAAUGGAGCAGCAUCUCCUCAUCCGGAAACAACCACACCGGAAAUGUGUCCCGUGAAAAACCGUUCAAUCGGAGCUCUCUAAUAACUAAACUUCCUUGGGUGAAUAAUGUAAACUCACUACACCGGUAUGUUUUAGCGCUUUCAUGGCAAGUUUACUGACAGAUAUAAGUGAGAACUUGACACUACUUUAUAUUAGAAAUGGCAACAGCGGAGGAUGAAUGUCACAUAACAAGAAGAUAGAGAAAAAGAAGAAGCUUAUUAACUACAAAGGCGGACACACAAUUUUUCAGGACUCAUGCAGAUCCCAAAUACAGAUCAGCAGGUACCAGAAGUUAAGAAAAGUUGCAUAAUAUUGCGAAACAAAACGCCAGAUAAUGUCUUACCUUAUACACACACCAUAAUAAUAGUCGUAUGUUUAAUGCGCCGACAAUCCUUCAAGCGGUGCGGCUUCAUAGCUGACCAAAGUCGUGCUAAAACAUUUUGAUAGAUUUUUGAGCGCCGUGUCUAAUGUUCUAUAUUUUCAACGGAACAUUUAAAAUGUUGCUGUUGUUUACUUAAAACCCAUCAUAGUGCAGGCUACAUGUAUCUCUUAUGUUUGACUGCCAUCUACUGCUCACACUUAUAAUUACACCAUAUACCAAAUAAAAUAGCCUCGAGGUGGGUAAGCUCAACCAAACUUGUUCAUUACAUUAGGCGCAACUGUGUAAGGCGCACUGAGAAAUAAAAAAGGAUUUUAAAUGCGCCUUAUAGUCCGGAAAUUACGGUAAACGCAUUGGCCAAAAAGUGCAUUGUGUGUCCUCGCCGCGAUCUAUUUUACAUUGUUGAAAUGUCGGCAAAGCAAAUGUGAGUAUGUGAAGAACGAACCUGGAGUGAAACAGCGCACAAUUCAACGUCAAGUUCGGUCUCGAUACCUUUCAUCUUUACCAUGGAAAAAAGGACGUACGCCAGGUUUUUGUGCAUAAGCACAACAUAACACGAGGCCCCUGCUGAAUUGGGAUCUGGUCACCCUUAGAUAUAGAGCAGUGGGAAAAGUGGAAGUGUGCCUGCUAACUCUCACAUGCUGUGUGAUUUGAUAAUAACAUAAAAAAAGUCCACAAUCCAAUUUCACAGUGUGAUGUUCAGUCAAAGGUCGUGCACUUUGGAUCCUAUUAAAAGUUCAAAUGGACCGAGAGCACCCUCGCAUAAUGUAGGUGCACGGUGGUGAUGAUGGCGGUGGCAAAUUAAUAUGUACAGUACAGUACAUUAUUACCUUUUUAACACUAAAUUACAAAAAAAAAAAUGUUUUGCUAAAAUGUCGUAAGGGGGGACCCUUACAAAAAAUUCCAAAAAACGGACUUGCUUCAGCAGCACAAUUCUGGUGCUGUAGUUGUAGGAGAUGUCUAAAAAAGGUCAUCAGGAGUCCCGACAAAUCCCGAAAUUGGCAGAAAAUGCUUUUUUUGGGAAACCUUUUUUUCGCAAAAAAAAAUUCCAAAAAACGGACUUGCUUCAGCAGCACAAUUCUGGUGCUGUAGUUGUAGGAGAUGUCUCAAAACGUCAUCAGGAGUCCUGA